AGUGUGUGCAUUCACAUCAAAGGCCAACAUGAAGACUUGCACAGUCUUUGUUCUAGUGGCUUUUGUCAUCUUGGGGAUGGAGAUGGCUUGCGCACAGAAACAUCCUCACAAAGGGGGAAACAGACCUGGACACUGCCCCAAUGUGCCCAAGGGAACCGUUGGGAUUUGUGCUGAAAUGUGCUCAGGAGAUGACUCAUGUCCCAGGGGAAUGAAAUGUUGCAGCAAUGGAUGUGGCCAUGUAUGCAAAGGUGCUAUCCAUGUGAGUGCUGUUGAUGACCAUGUGGAGGAAGAAUGGGGGGUGUAAGCCUGCUUGGAGACCGGUCCCAGAAGAUUGCUCAUGAAUGCAUCCAUCAGUGCAUUUUCCACACACCAUUCUUGGCAAGUGUUUAUCCCUUGACGUGCAGUCCCAGAAGAUGAAGAUCUAAAGUGAUGGAGUGGCCGAUUCUGAAGAGCUUGUGUCCAAAAUAAAUUUUAUCUGUUGCAUUAU